UCGGCACUUGCGGGCAACCCCACCCAACUCGGAGAGUGGCCCCGCGGCUCUCGAGGGGCGGGGCCUCACUACCAUCCUCGCUGGCGAUUGGCUUAAAUUCCUCAGGGCCAUGGGAAGGAGCCAAUUGCGGCGGAGACGGCAGGUGACCCGUCGCAGAUAUUGGAAUUCUCGCACUACCAUAGAUGGCAAAGCUUACUUAGAAAACUGGCCUCCACGUGAAUAUCCAGCGUUGAAGCAUCUACCUAGAGUGCGUGAACAAAGUUAAGGAUUUGCUGUCAGAAUUUUCUACUGGAAGCCUCACCUGAGAGAAUUGAGGAUGGAUGUAUUGGAGGAUGAAGGGGACAUGGUCAGUUUGUCAUCACUUGGCAAGAUUGCCUCUCCCUGCUGCAAGGAUUCAUGAAACCGCCGGAUGUUCUGCACAUGCUCUUCAUGGCGUGAUGCCUGGCUUCUUGUUAUACCACUUCUGUCAGGAAAAGUUAUGGAUAAAUGGCGAGAGACUGACAUGGAGAGAGAAGAGACACCACAGCACUGCUCUGCUGCUUGUGAAACUUUCCCUGUGCAUGGCACUCCCAUGUAGUGACUGGAGGUUUGAACCUGGGUCACUGCACUUGGAGAAGUGAGUGCUUUAUUGCCUGAGCUAUCCCUCCCUGCCUUAAAAAGCUGGACCACUGAUUUGAGUGUAACCAUUUUAAACAAGUUUAACUAGUA